rnacentral:rRNA from 1 species
UACAGAGGUGGCAAGCGUUGUUCGGAAUUACUGGGCGUAAAGGGCGCGUAGGCGGCCAUUUAAGUCAGACGUGAAAUCCCCCGGCUUAACCUGGGAACUGCGUCUGAUACUGGAUGGCUUGAGUAUGGGAGAGGGAUGUAGAAUUCCAGGUGUAGCGGUGAAAUGCGUAGAUAUCUGGAGGAAUACCGGUGGCGAAGGCGGCAUCCUGGACCAUUACUGACGCUGAGGCGCGAAAGCUAGGGGAGCAAACGGG